rnacentral:rRNA from 1 species
GUAGCCCUACGGGGCGCAGCAGUGGGGAAUAUUGCACAAUGGGGGAAACCCUGAUGCAGCAACGCCGCGUGAGUGAAGAAGUCAUUCGUGAUGUAAAGCUCUAUCAGCAGGGAAGAAAAUGACGGUACCUGAGUAAGAAGCCCCGGCUAACUACGUGCCAGCAGCCGCGGUAAUACGUAGGGGGCAAGCGUUAUCCGGAAUUACUGGGGGUAAAGGGAGCAUAGACGGUAAUGCAAGUCUGGAGUGAAAGGCGGGGGCCCAACCCCCGGACUGCUCUGGAAACUGUGUAACUGGAGUGCAGGAGA